GGCUCUGUACCCCAAUUGGAAGAGGGGGCUGGUUUAGAACCAGUUUGUUGUAGGUUCGAAUCCUACCAGAGCCA
rnacentral:tRNA from 1 species